rnacentral:misc_RNA from 1 species
GAUGAAGAACGCAGCAAAAUGCGAUACUUGGUGUGAAUUGCAGAAUCCCGUGAACCAUCGAGUUUUUGAACGCAAGUUGCGCCCGAAGCCUUUUGGCCGAGGGCACGUCUACCUGGGCGUCACGCAUCGCGUCGCCCCCCACAAUUCUCCGUAAAGGGAACGUGUGUUUUGGGGGCGGAUAUUGGUCUCCCGUGCUCAUGGCGUGGUUGGCCGAAAUAGGAGUCCUUUCGAUGGACGCACGAACUAGUGGUGGUCGUAAAAACCCUCGUCUUUUGUUUCGUGCUGUUGCUCGCAAGGUAAACUCUUUAAAAACCCCAAUGUGUCGUCUCUUGACGACGCUUCGACCGCGACCCCAGGUCAGGCGGGACUACCCGCUGAGUUUAAGCAUAUCAAUAAGCGGAGGA